ACGGGGGAAGGAAUGCAAGGUGUCGGUUAAUGGUGUAAGUUUUAUCAGUGAGGCGCGCGCGCCGGCAGUGGAUCGACGCUGUCACGCAACCUUCAAAUUUCGAAUUACUUUCAACUAUUUACUGUUUACCUUAAUGAAAUGUAUACAGAUACAAAAUAAAACAAAAAACUAUAUAAUAUAAAAGUUAAUAAGCUUAAUCCGGAAGUUGUAAAUUGUUAAGACGCACAAUAUGUACAAUAUGUACAACCACGAAGAAGUCGAACCAAAAGAGAAAACGAACAGCAGCCUUUGCAGCAGCGCAUAGCUAGACCAAUCUGAGCCAUAAGCUACGGAGCCAUACCAUUAAGGAUCCGAAGGGGAGGCGGCAGGUUGUUCCAGCACUUCGUCGCUGCAUAGCGGAAACUACCACGAAAGGCUGCUGAUCGAUGAAGAGGCACGCUAAGCAUAUAAGACGACGCUCUCGUGGGAUAUGUUUUGUUACUUUCUUUUGCCCAACUCAACUUACUAUACAGAUAUAAAGGUGCUUUAUUUUGAAUAACACCAAAUAGGAGGGUAGCAAGAUGUAAUUGCCUUCGGUAUUCCAUCUUAAUCAUCCGUGCGGUAUUAAGG